rnacentral:sRNA from 1 species
CGACGAUAAACGAAGCGUACCCAGGCAGACGUGGGCAAGAGGCUAGGGGAGAGAAUAGGUGACAUCAACUUCUGGAAGACCGAACUGAAUCACGAACUUGACCAGAUGAUCACUGAGACCAACGCUUUGAAUGAAGCCAAGAGGAUCCUGGAGAAGAACCUGGCAGAGACGGAAAACCCACUACACAUUUCUCAGGAAUGUCUGUAUAACAG